GAUGAACGCUGGCGGCGUGCUUAACACAUGCAAGUCGAACGGUGAAGCCCAGCUGGCUUGGUGGAUCAGUGGCGAACUGGCGAAUAAGACGUGAGUAACUUGCCAUUUACUUUGUCAUAAGCCUGGGAGACUGGAACUUAUCGCGGAUACGACCGUCCACCUCCUGGUGGAAGUUGGAAAUAUUAGGCGGUUUUGGAUGUAAUUGCGGCCUAUCAGCUUUUUCGAGUGGUAAUGGCUCACGCAGGCCAAGACGGGUAGCCGGCCUGUGAGGGUGACCGGCGACACUGGGACUGAGACACGGACCAGACGCCAACGUGGGGCAGCAGGCGGAAGUAUUACGCAAUGAUCGCGAGCCUGAUGCAGCGGCGCCGGGUGAGGGAUGACGGCCUUCGGGGUGUGAACCGCAGUCGGUUGGGAAGAAGCGAAAGUGACGGUACCUGAAGAAGAAGCACCGGCUAACUACGUG
rnacentral:rRNA from 1 species